rnacentral:misc_RNA from 1 species
UCCAGCUUAUCGCUGGCGGUCUCCUGCGAGUGCCGCCUUUCGGCAUGGUAACACAGGACAAGGGUUGCGCUCGUUGCGGGACUUAACCCAACAUCUCACGGCACGAGCUGACGACAGCCAUGCACCACCUGCGCAGAAGUCCCUUGCGGGAGGUGCUCACUUUCGUGAGCAUUUCCUCUGCAUGUCAAACCCAGGUAAGGUUCUUCGCGUUGCCUCGAAUUAAACCACACGCUCCGCUGCAUGGCCGUCGUCAGC